GUCCCCGCUUCGGCAGCACAUAUACUAAAACUGGAACAAUACAGAGAAGAUUAGCAUGGCCCCUGUGCAAGGAUGACACAUAAAUUCAUGAAGUGUUCCAUAUUUUA
ensembl:snRNA U6 U6 spliceosomal RNA